GGCCUUCUAGCUCAGUUGGUUAGAGCGUGGUGCUAAUAACGCAAGGGUCAUCAUCGUUCGAUCCGGAUGGAGGCCA
rnacentral:tRNA from 1 species